GGAUGAAUAUUGGACAAUGCCCGCAAGGGUGAUCCAGCCAUGCCGCGUGCAGGAAGAAGGCCCUAUGGGUCGUAAACUGCUUUUACACCGGAGAAAACCUCCCCUCGUGAGGGGAGCUGAUAGUAUGGUGAGAAUAAGCAUCGGCUAACUUCGUGCCAGCAGCCGCGGUAAGACGAAGGAUGCAAGCGUUAUCCGGAUUCAUUGGGUUUAAAGGGAGCGUAGGCGGUCUUAUAAGUCAGUGGUGAAAGCC
rnacentral:rRNA from 1 species